AGUAGAACGCUGAAGAGAGGAGCUUGCUCUUCUUGGAUGAGUUGCGAACGGGUGAGUAACGCGUAGGUAACCUGCCUUGUAGCGGGGGAUAACUAUUGGAAACGAUAGCUAAUACCGCAUAACAAUGGAUGACACAUGUCAUUUAUUUGAAAGGGGCAAUUGCUCCACUACAAGAUGGACCUGCGUUGUAUUAGCUAGUAGGUGAGGUAAUGGCUCACCUAGGCGACGAUACAUAGCCGACCUGAGAGGGUGAUCGGCCACACUGGGACUGAGACACGGCCCAGACUCCUACGGGAGGCAGCAGUAGGGAAUCUUCGGCAAUGGGGGCAACCCUGACCGAGCAACGCCGCGUGAGUGAAGAAGGUUUUCGGAUCGUAAAGCUCUGUUGUAAGUCAAGAACGGGUGUGAGAGUGGAAAGUUCACACUGUGACGGUAGCUUACCAGAAAGGGACGGCUAACUACGUGCCAGCAGCCGCGGUAAUACGUAGGUCCCGAGCGUUGUCCGGAUUUAUUGGGCGUAAAGCGAGCGCAGGCGGUUUGAUAAGUCUGAAGUUAAAGGCUGUGGCUCAACCAUAGUUCGCUUUGGAAACUGUCAAACUUGAGUGCAGAAGGGGAGAGUGGAAUUCCAUGUGUAGCGGUGAAAUGCGUAGAUAUAUGGAGGAACACCGGUGGCGAAAGCGGCUCUCUGGUCUGUAACUGACGCUGAGGCUCGAAAGCGUGGGGAGCGAACAGGAUUAGAUACCCUGGUAGUCCACGCCGUAAACGAUGAGUGCUAGGUGUUGGAUCCUUUCCGGGAUUCAGUGCCGCAGCUAACGCAUUAAGCACUCCGCCUGGGGAGUACGACCGCAAGGUUGAAACUCAAAGGAAUUGACGGGGGCCCGCACAAGCGGUGGAGCAUGUGGUUUAAUUCGAAGCAACGCGAAGAACCUUACCAGGUCUUGACAUCCCGAUGCUAUUUCUAGAGAUAGAAAGUUACUUCGGUACAUCGGUGACAGGUGGUGCAUGGUUGUCGUCAGCUCGUGUCGUGAGAUGUUGGGUUAAGUCCCGCAACGAGCGCAACCCCUAUUGUUAGUUGCCAUCAUUCAGUUGGGCACUCUAGCGAGACUGCCGGUAAUAAACCGGAGGAAGGUGGGGAUGACGUCAAAUCAUCAUGCCCCUUAUGACCUGGGCUACACACGUGCUACAAUGGUUGGUACAACGAGUUGCGAGUCGGUGACGGCGAGCUAAUCUCUUAAAGCCAAUCUCAGUUCGGAUUGUAGGCUGCAACUCGCCUACAUGAAGUCGGAAUCGCUAGUAAUCGCGGAUCAGCACGCCGCGGUGAAUACGUUCCCGGGCCUUGUACACACCGCCCGUCACACCACGAGAGUUUGUAACACCCGAAGUCGGUGAGGUAACCUU
rnacentral:rRNA from 1 species